rnacentral:rRNA from 1 species
CACGUAGGCACCAAGCGUUAUCCGGAUUUAUUGGGCGUAAAGAGCUCGUAGGCGGUUCGGUAAGUCGGGUGUGAAAACUCUGGGCUCAACCCAGAGAGGCCACCCGAUACUGCUGUGACUAGAGUGCGGUAGGGGAGCGGGGAAUUCCUGGUGUAGCGGUGAAAUGCGCAGAUAUCAGGAGGAACACCAAUGGCGAAGGCAGCACUCUGGGACGUGACUGACGCUGAGACGCGAAAGCGUGGGGAGCAAACAGG